AUACGUAGGGUGCGAGCGUUAAUCGGAAUUACUGGGCGUAAAGCGUGCGCAGGCGGUUUUGUAAGCCAGAUGUGAAAUCCCCGGGCUUAACCUGGGAAUGGCAUUUGGGACUGCAAGGCUGGAGUGCGGCAGAGGAGACUGGAAUUCCUGGUGUAGCAGUGAAAUACGUAGAUAUCAGGAGGAACACCGAUGGCGAAGGCAGGUCUCUGGGCUGACACUGACGCUCAUGCACGAAAGCGUGGGGAGCAAACAGGAUUAGAUACCCUGGUAGUCCACGCCCUAAACGAUGUCGACUGGUUGUUGGGGGUUUGACACUCUCAGUAACGAAGCUAACGCGUGAAGUCGACCGCCUGGGGAGUACGGCCGCAAGGUUAAAACUCAAAUGAAUUGGCGGGG
rnacentral:rRNA from 1 species